UACGUAGGUGGCUAGCGUUGUCCGGAAUCAUUGGGCGUAAAGAGCGUGUAGGCGGCCCGGUAAGUCCGCUGUGAAAGUCGGGGGCUCAACCCUCGAAUGCCGGUGGAUACUGUCGGGCUAGAGUGCGGAAGAGGCGAGUGGAAUUCCUGGUGUAGCGGUGAAAUGCGCAGAUAUCAGGAGGAACACCAAUUGCGAAGGCAGCUCGCUGGGACGUAACUGACGCUGAGACGCGAAAGCGUGGGGAGCAAACAGG
rnacentral:rRNA from 1 species